rnacentral:rRNA from 1 species
CGGGACGGGUGAGUAACGCGUGGGUAACCUGCCUCAUACAGGGGGAUAACAGUUAGAAAUGACUGCUAAUACCGCAUAAGCGCACAGGGAUGCAUGUCCUGGUGUGAAAAACUCCGGUGGUAUGAGAUGGACCCGCGUCUGAUUAGCUGGUUGGCGGGGUAACGGCCCACCAAGGCGACGAUCAGUAGCCGACCUGAGAGGGUGACCGGCCACAUUGGGACUGAGACACGGCCCAAACUCCUACGGGAGGCAGCAG